rnacentral:piRNA from 1 species
UGUCCUACCACACAGUUGCUUGGAGCAAUGG